CCUACGGGGAGCAGCAGUGGGGGAUAUUGCACAAUGGGGGGAACCCUGAUGCAGCGACGCCGCGUGGGUGAAGAAGCGCCUCGGCGCGUAAAGCCCUGUCAGCAGGGAAGAAAAUGACGGUACCUGAAGAAGAAGCCCCGGCUAACUACGUGCCAGCAGCCGCGGUAAUACGUAGGGGGCAAGCGUUAUCCGGAUUUACUGGGUGGAAAGGGGGCGCAGACGGCGAUGCAAGCCAGGAGUGAAAGCCCGGGGCCCAACCCCGGGACUGCUCUUGGAACUGCGUGGCUGGAGUGCAGGAGGGGCAGGCGGAAUUCCUGGUGGAGCGGUGAAAUGCGUAGAUAUCAGGAGGAACACCGGUGGCGAAGGCGGCCUGCUGGACUGCAACUGACGUUGAGGCCCGAAAGCGUGGGGAGCAAACAGGAUUAGAUACCCUAGUAGUC
rnacentral:rRNA from 1 species